GCGCUCCAGGGCGGGCUUGGAAAUGGAGACAAACUCCUCCGAGCCGUUAAGGCUCAGCCGGACAGGGCUUAGGAGUCCCGAGCCCAGUCCUGUUCACCCCCAUUUUAUAGAAAGGGAAACUGAGGCCCAGACAGGGGAAAGUCACUUGCCGAGGUGUUUGCUGCAGACUGCGUUGACCGAACCUGCUUUUUCACAGCAGUCAGACAGCAAGCCCUCCCGUCCCUCCAGGACCCUAGUUCCUGGGGAGGAAGGCGUUCUCAGCGAUAAUGACCAGCAUUAAAGUGCUCCCCGUUACCGGCGUCACUGCCCCAGCCAGUGGAGGCCCCGGAGAGGGACUGAAGAUGUGUCACCUAACUUCUCUGAACCUUCCUCCCUCAAGGAGAACUGAUAAUCCCUAACUCACAGUUCUGUGAGGAUUGAAUGCCUUAAGCAUGCAGGUUAAGUGGCUACUGAAGGCAGUUUUUGUGGACAGAAACUGGUCCCAGCGUCAGAUCUGCGAUGCUGCCCAGGCAUGGUGGUGACCCUCUCUAAACAAGCACACUCAGAAUUUCCCUGGCUCGGCUGGGCGACUCAGAAGAAAACUGGCCAUCAGCUUCUGCCUCAAGCGGGUGCUGUGGCAAGGAAGACAGAGCAUGUGUGUUGUGAACACUCAUUAGAGGAUCAUCCCUGCUGUGCCAGGUGCCAUGGCGCUGGAUGCAGAAAGCAGGACACAUGGAAAGAUGGUGUGUUCACAAAGAAUUUGGAAGAAAGCCAGAUGGUGACAAGAGUGUGUCUCUGAAUGCCCCUUUUGGGGGUCACUAAAAAUGCCCCAGGGUUUUUAGUUAGACCAAAAAGGAGGCUUCAAAGAGAUGACUUCUGAGCCGGGUUGUGAUACAUCUAGGAUGUCAACAGGCAGAGAAAGGGCAGGGACUGGGAGUAAGGAAAGAACAUCUGUUCAAGGCAAAACACUGAUUACCAAAGUUUCUAUCAUCCUUAUGUUGACAACGGACAUAAUUUUAACCUUUUGUAUAAGCCAGACUGUAAAGGAUUAUUAGCAGAAUAAAAGCAUCUAUUGGGCCUGGU